rnacentral:lncRNA from 1 species
GUUCAGAUCUAUAUCCUGUAAUCACAGAAUUUGUUGGCAGAGAAACCUUGUAAAAACUGGGUCAGUGUGUUGACAAACAUAUAUCAAACUGUUGCUGUACACACUGAUCUGUCUUUAGAAUCCCUAAGCCUUAUUUGCAAAGCAAUGCUGGUAAAAGGGACAGUUUGAGCAGGGAUGGAAUGAGAGUGCUUUGAAUGAAGAAUGAGGAGGAACACCUGACAAGGGCUACAGGUAAAUGUAUUUGUGUGAAUCUGCCUUUAGUGUAUUGCAUUCUGCGAUUUACAAAGUAUUAUUUAUGUUUUAUGUUGUACUUAUUUUAUCUCGUUUUUUUUGGGAAAAGUAAAAAUAGCAUAUUCAAGUUUGAAUUAAUUAUGUAUCAUCCCGAUUUAAAAAGCCAAAAUAAAAAAGAUUAAAUAAUUUUUGUAGAUUAAAUUCUAUUUAUUACAUACAGCAUAUGAUUAACUGUUUUUGUUUUGUUUUUUUACCAGUGUUAAAUCCUCCUUGAACUCGUCUAAUUGAAACUUGUGUUAAUAAGAUUUGUCCAAACUGGGCAUUAAAGAGGUAAUAAAUUCUGGCAAACUAUCCAACACUUGCAAAUCCAACAUACCAAUGUAAUAUUAUUAUCACAGUGGAUCAUGGGAAACUUAAAUUAAGUAAUAUGAAAAGUCCUGCUUUUGGCUUUUCAAAAAUGUCAAAGUGUAGUUUUAUUACUCAACAAAUUAAAUAUUGGGCUAUUGUUAAAAAGACAUUGAAACGAAACAUGGAAAUAACUGGUAGUUUAAUUUAAUUUAUUAUAUUUUUUAUCUUAGAGGUGAAAGUCUUCUUCUUCUCACGAUGCUGGGGAUGACAUACUACUCGCUGCUUUGGUGGCAACACAAGUCCUGCAUGGCCAAUAGGAUGUGAGUAUUACAUGAGGUUUUAUUCUUAUGGUACAGUUAGAGAACCCACACAUCUUUAAACUACAUCCAUCAUCCAGAAUGUACUUUUCUGGGUAAUUCUUUUUUCUGGGUUCAUCACUCAUAUUUCUUUAAUUUCCAUAACAUUUUCACUUAAUUCACUUUUUUUCCAUCUCAUCUUUGUCCUUUGUUUCUUUUGUCUAUCUCCAUAUGUGUCUAUCGAAUAUUUUUCCGCCAAUGUGUCUUUUUUGCUUCCUACGUGCGUCUCUAAACUAUUUCCCAUCUCAGUAUCCAGUGCUGGAUUACUCAUGUAGUGGGCAUAGGUGACUGCCGAGGGGACAGACAGGGGCCUGGACUUGGAGUUCAGGCACUGUUUUGAGGGGGCCCUAUCUGAACUGGCCCGGGAGAUCAAUAUAUCUUGCUGUUUGGCCCUGUAGACCCUUGCUUCAUCAUGGAAGCAUUGUGGUGUGCACCUCUAUUGUACACCACAAUUAAUCUAACUUCAUACCUCACGUCUUUGCCAUAUUUUCCCCAUGUAAGCUGAUACUGCUCUCACUCCUAUUGGAUACAUUGAAACUAAUCCAUCUGAUGUGAAUGAAGGAGUUGGACACUAUGAUGACACACUGCACAUUACUAUAUUUUAGGAAAUGAAAACAGAGUUUACUUACUUUCUUUUCUUAAGUUACUUUAGCUGCAGCAGAGCAAAUACUUUAAUGUUAGAAUGGGAAAAAACAGAAUAGAUUAAAAUAGCAUUUGUAUGUAUUUUAAAUAGUAUAUCUAAAAUAUAGAAAUAUCUGGAGAGACUAUAAAACUGUGAUCUGUCUAUCUAUCUGUCUGUCCAUCUGCCAGUUUCUCUGUCUGUCUGUCUAUCUAUUUAUUGUUCAGGGGCUCAAAUCUAAGGCAGAACUGGGACAUACAUAUAUUAAUCUGUCUAAGAUUAAUGGGAGUUACAUUCCUGAGUUGCAGCUGCCACCACUUUAAUUCAACUUGUUCCCAGAUGGGUGAUGUGGCAGACCCAUUUGCCAAACAUGCUUCCUAGCUAUCGCCGGGACACCAUCAGCACUUCAGCCCCUAGCUGCCGCAGCUUGGCUGGGGUCUCGCCGUUGCUUCCCACCCUGGCACAGGGUCCUGGAUCCAGCUUCUAGAAAUCAAAGCUCUCCAGCAGAGAGUAUAGCUGUUAUAGCAUUCUCCCCACACAUUAGCCGAGACUUAAUGGUGGGAGUAGAUCUGUUUAAUGCAGGCAAGCAUUCACAAUUUAAACACACAGUAAACUCCUCCCCUGUGUCUGAGAGAUAAUUGCGUCAGGAACUGUACAAACACAAUUAUCUCCAGGUAAAGAAAAGUAUAACAAUUUUUAAACAUACCAAACAUACCCAAAAUACAUUUAACACUCCACAAAAGACACACCCCCCGAUAGCUCUGAUCUGAGUACCUAACAUCCGAAAAGCACUCAGAUCGGUUCGGUGGUUUGGAUUUUCCAUCGAGGUAGACUUUUGACCGACCGCACACGUGGCUUCUGCCCAAAAUAGUUCCAUAAGAAAAGUGUUAGUGGUCGGUCACUUUUGGGAGUCCAAAACCAAAUGAAAUGCCAAACUAAUCUUUUGGCUCCAAGGUAGCGAUUGUUCGCCUAGUUCAUGGGAACAAUCCUACCGAAUGGUGCUCUCCUGACAUGAGUAAACACGAAGCAGGCGUUCAUCAAAUUUCAGCGGUGUUCGCGAGCUAGAGUGUCCGAUUUUAGUCCAUACACUUGAUGACCAAACACCGCUGCCUGCAUUUGUGCGACUAUAUAUAUUUAUUUAUUAAUUUAUAAAAUAUUUUACCAGGAAAGAUACAUUGAGAUUUCUCUCAUUUUCAAGUAUGUCCUGGGCCACCAACUCAGUUCCCACAUGUUCUUGCAUACAAACGGCAGCCACCCAGCAGAACCCUUAUGAUACAUAGUGUGAAAUCGAUGAUGGAGGUGUCAGGAGAGGUUAUAGGAGUUAACAAACCCAGAGGUGGUCAGAAAUUUGGUUCUCAAACUAAAAAGGGAAACCACACGAACCAAGUCUUUUAAAGGUCAGUUACAUGGCCCAUAGCCCUUGGGCAGGAGGAUAGCCAGCAGGCUUCUCCAGGAGAGACAUAGCAGAGACAUUUUUGCCACAGGUGACACUAGGAAUGGCUGCCUCCUGGGACAGUAAUAAUUGUACUAAUGUCUAUCCAAAUGAUGCUCUAAACAUACAUAACUCCCCUUGAAGCAGCUCUGUCAUUUUACAUGUUGCUUUUUGUCCCUUUAGGCUGCUCUUUGUUUGUUGUUUUAAUAAAGCAAAAUAUUCCUUAAAAAGUUAUACAUAAGGAAGUGCCAGGACUACUUUUACUUUUGUAAAAACGGCCAGUUGAAAAAAGUUGACAAAAGAGUUUCAGUCUAGUUCUGUGUCAUUUGUCACCUCUGCCAUUGGAUAUCAAGCUCUCUGCUUAUCUCCCACAUCAGUGAGUCACACAUGUAUUGCAAUCCUCCAUAUAUUCUAUGCAAUGUUUAGAGCACCACAAAUGACCAUUGAAUUACAAAUUACAUGAAGGGCAGAGGAGACAAGUUCCGGAGUGGACCUGGAAGAAUUUCAAAGAGGGCAGUACGGUGAAUAUAGACCCAGUGAGGCCGGCAGGUUAUUACAAACCUGGCUGAGAUCGCAUGUGCUAGUGUCCAUGUGCGGCAGAAUGCUGCUGUGUGCCAAUAAAUGGUCUCUAUGAGACCAUCCGAUGGAACACCUGAGCUUAACUUGGCAAUUGGGUUGGAAGCGCCUCUAUUGGCUGUCAGUGUGUUCCUGCAGAACGUCAAUGUUUUCAGUUGCAGGGUUAAAACUACUGGGACAUUGCAUUCAUUGAGAAGUUGUCUGGAUGCCCAUAGUGUCCUUUUUUAAUAUUUAAUAUAUUAUUAUUGUUUCCUUGUGCUUCUGGAGCCUAUUGCUAUCGUAAGGGUCCAUGUACCAGAAAAACUAUAUGUAAUUAAAAUAUAAUAAAUGUAAAAUGACUAAUACUACGUAUAUUAAUGGCAACGUCUCCUUAACUGCAUAAAAAGCACUGGAUAACUAGCCACAUGCGAGAAAUGUCAGCCUACACACUAUGACUUCACCAACCGUCUUAAAAUAAAACAUGAAAUCUGCUAGGCAGUCUCAGCCAUUUCUUGCAUUCUAAGAAUACCAUACCGCCAGUAACACAGACAGAUGGCUCCAAUAUAUUUCUCUGCUCUAAAAAAAAAACAAAAAAACACACACACAUGGAUAUGUCUCUCUAUGAUAAGAUGAAUAUUGACGAACUCCCUUGCUGUAAGUGAUGAUUAAUAACAAACGGUAACUAGGUGGAUUUAGUGAAUCAUUUGUCACGUACCUUGAGAUUUUUUGGAAUUAACUUCGUAUGAACUUUUCAUUGUCUGUGGUGGGUGUUUGAUGUGAUACACAUUUCUCCUGUUCGUAGCAAUAUAUCACGUUUAUAGAAAUGCUGCUAGUGCUUCAUGCAUUUUAACUUAUUUAGAGUAAGGGGGAUGAAAAAUACCCCGUUGCACUAAAACAUUUGUAAAUCUUUAGCUAGAUUUAAAUGUGUAACAAAUAUUUUUUGUGCUACAAACAUAAGAAUCAACCUAAAUAAUAUGUAGCAAACUGACAAUCCAGUUUCCUAAUACUGUAGUAAAAACAUUAGCCUUAAUGGGACAUUCCGUGUGCCAUGAGUUAUCAAGCAACUGAAUGCCAGUUGAAAACAUUUUGCAAAAUAUAAAAAUACCCUCUGCCUUGCACACCAACCUCUCUGUCACACCUUGCCAAUUUAUGUAAAUUGUUUAAACAGCUGUGUUGUAUUGUAAGAGCAUGCUUGUACCCAUCGCAGUAUGAGUAUAUAAUGUACUAUGGUGUAGAAACAAACCAGACUCUAGUACAGAAACUGUGUGUACGUAGCUGUUCUUUUGUAUAGUAGCUAUGCUGCUGGUAUUUUCACUCAUUGCAAAAUUCGCAGGAAGCUACAGUCAGCUGCUAUAACGUUGCACUGGUUACGCACACAGCUCACAAGUGUCUCAACUUUGUUAAAACUACUUUGUUAAAACUACUUUUCCCACAAGGCCUUCAGAUGGCAGUGAACUUAUAUCAUAACUCCCAACAAUUUGGAGGGAAGAAUCAGGAUGUGGUAGACGGGGCCCUGAGGGGGCAUCACCAAUGAAGCAACCAGCAUCACUAGCAAUGCCCAUAAUAGGUGGGACUGCCCAUAAAAGUGGCAUCCGGCCUGGCCACUAAAAGCCUGCCUGACCACUGAAAGCCUGCCUGACCAGUCCCUAGCUUUCAGGACUUUGCAGGGAGCCCUUCUUGUUGCAUGGUCCCAGUGGUACUUGAAUUUGAGCUAUAUUUGCCUAUAUUUAUAUGUAGCCACUUGACAUUUAGCUAACUCAAAAUGUAUUGGUGUCCUUUGAUAUUUACUAUGAAUAGACAUCUAUUCUAUAUCUAUUUAGAGUUAAUUGGUUGCUAUAGUUUUAUCAUCAAUGCAUUACUUCUCAUUUGAACAAGUGCGAUCAAUACUGACUCUGAACACAGGAACACUACUAUUAUUUCUUCAUUAACUAAAUACAAUAUAUAUAUAUAUAUAUACUAAAUUAAAAUGUUUACACUCAGAUAAUUAAAAACUAUUUACAUGCUAUUACCUAAUUAACUUUAAUAAUAGUCCCAACAGUUCAAGUCCUUAUUCCCACCACAUUGUCCUCCAUUUUCAGUUCCCAAAAUAAAAGGCCAAUCUUUUAAUUCCUAUCUCUCAUAUCUCCCUUACCCUUACCAUCCCAAAAAUAAGUAGUAAGAGGAAGGGAUGAGCCUAACGAUUCCACCCAUUCGCACCUUGACAUAGAUGCCACCAGUGGUCCCAGCAAUGCUGCCAAUGUGUCCUCUAGAUCAGUGUUUCCCAACCCAGUCCUCAAGGCACACCUACCAGUCCAGGAUUUAGGGAUUACCCAGUUGUGUCUAAGGUGUUUUUUUUCUUCUUUGUAAAAACACCUUAGACACAACUGGGUAAUCCCUAAAUCUUGGACUGGUAGGUGUGCCUUGAGGACUGGGUUGGGAAACACUGCUCUAGAUGUUACAAUGUCACUGCCCCUGCUAUGUCAUCUCUUUCAUAAGACUCAGCAUUGUUCAUAGUCAGUUCAUAUGUGUCUAGUAGGGCAGCUAGUUCAUCAGGACAUCCAACUGGGUACAUGUUGGGCUCCCCACACAGCUCUUCAACACUGUGGAGCCCAUUACAAUUGAUUGCUAACCGCAAGUGUAGUGCAAAUGCGCAGUGUGCCUAUUAUACUGUCCAGUUGUGAUUGCCAUUGCAACAACAUAGAAGACAAACUUUUUAGUGUGAUACCCACCGGUAAAACACAAAUAGCUAUUUUAAGAUUAGAUUAUAAUAGGGGUAGACCAGAAAACAUGGACUAGAAGGUUGGAAAUCUAUUUCGUGGCUGCAAAUGUCUACUGGCCGUUGUUAACAAGGCAUUUACUGACAAUAUUAUAGCCCUAUGUUUCCACAGCAAUGUUUCAAGAAAUGUUUCUACACAUUUCUUUUUUACAAAGUUUCCAUAAUCUUUGCCUUGAUUUACAUCAUUACAUGUUGUCGAGGUCCAAGAUUGGACACCUCUGCUUUAGAUGAAGCUAGUUUUUGCCAAAUUAUAUUUCUCCCGGGCUGUAAAAUGAGUUUUAAUGCAUCCUUGAAUCCUCCAAACAGACAUUAAUUAUGUCAAGAAAAUAAAAGGCUGCACAUGUAAACAGGUAUUCAUGUUUGGCUUAUAGUAUAUUAAUAUGCAUUUAACCCUCUGGUAAUUCUUUGCAUUUAGUCCUAUAAUACCACAGGGGGUACUGAUGCAUUUGGUAUUUAUUUUCAAAGACCCGUUUUUUGGCAGGGUGGCUGUGCAAUUACAUAGUACAGUAUUCAUCGCUGGAUAUUUGUCACAUGCAUGCCAGUCCUUCUUUUCCCUGUAAUAUUUUGGAAAUGAGAUGAAGAUAAGUGAUUUCAAUUUUCGAGCAGUAGAUGUUUCUAUCAUCAAGAGACAAAAACUAAAUUAGCAAUCACAGAGGAAGCCAGUGUAGCAUCUGCCUUGGUAUUAAUCUGGCAACCAGCUUGAGAACACACAGAAGACAUCUCUACAUCAUUACACUGUGAAAUUUGAAUUCUAGAAUGUUAGUAUCUUAGCUCCACGCUGAAGUCUUGAUACCUUUAAUGGUGAGAUAUUAAGAUGCGGAAUCGUUAAAAGAGGACCUCAUGUGAAAAACUUUAUCCUGCAUAAUUACUACAAUAUUAUAAAUGGAGAUUGGAAUAUCUGCUGCCCUAAAGGAGAUACCGGAGACAAUUAACACUAUUCACCUCAAUGCCUGUGCAUUUAGUUUGUUAAAUUAGCAUUUUUGCCUGCAGUCGGACAUCUCAACCUCUCAUUAUCUCAUUACGUCUCAUUGUACCGUCUAUGAACAUGAACUAGGCUCCAAAAAUGUUUUAUUGCUUCUAAGAACUAUGUGCAAAGAUAUCAUGCUAUAACCAUGCAGUCAUUGUACAUAAUUUAAUUUUUAUUAGUGGGUCAUGUUUAUUAAGGAAUUAAAUGAUGAAACAAUAAUGAAAAAAAUCCUUAACAUUGAUCUGAAUUGUUUUGGGAAAUAUGUCUACCAUCAUGGGUGAAGCUACCGAGAGGAGCAAGGACAAGAGAACAGGACAGACAAGUGAACAAAUGUCAUGGGAAUAUAAACAGAUAAAGCAAGUCAUAAAAUGUACUGUUUUUUCUUUUAUGAUACAGUUCUAUGCCAAAGUUUGAGCAAAAUUGGGCCGUUCGGUGUACUUCAAAAUAUAAAUAUUAUGUUAAUAUUGUCUACAACACUGAUAGGAGUAUUUUCUCAGAAUUUGGUUCACAUAUCAGUUGGGAAAAGGUAUCAUAAUUCUUGCUGUUUUUGGUUUCCACGUACCAAAAUGUCCAAAUAGAUGUUAAAAGGAGCUGCUAAAGUCAAGGCAACAACUGGAAGAGCAAAUAGAAACUCCAGUAGAACUGCUUGUAAACAGAAAAACAAAACUCCAAUUAAAAGAUAAAUGGCACGUUUGGAGAAAAAAACAAGGAUACAAUAGACAAAAACUAAGAAAAGAAAACCUUGUAAGCUAACCCUCAAACAUUGAGGUGACUCUAUUAUAGUUCAGGUUUGUAUUGCUGCUGGCACAAGAAAUAUUGCCGAGGUCGAGUGAAAAAUUGAAUCUACUAUAUAUCAACAGUACCUUGAACGUAAUGUUCCACAGUCAGUGUAAUAAACUGAAGGUGAAAAUAGGUUGGAUCUUCCAACAAAGCAACGAUACAAAACAAAACUUAUAACCAACCAUGAACUACUUGUAUCUUCCAACAAAACAACGAUACAAAACAAAAUCUAUAACCAACCAUGAACUACUUGUAUCUUCCAACAAAGCAACGAUACAAAACAAAACCUAUAACCAACCAUGAACUACUUGUAUCUUCCAACAAAACAACGAUACAAAACAAAACCUAUAACCAACCAUGAACUACUUGUAUCUUCCAACAAAACAACGAUACAAAACAAAACUUAUAGCCAACCACGAACUACUUAUAUCUUCCAACAAAACAACAAUACAAAACAAAACCUAUAACCAACCAUGAACUACUUGUAUCUUCCAACAAAACAACGAUACAAAACAAAACUUAUAACCAACCACGAACUACUUGUAUCUUCCAACAAAACAACGAUACAAAACAAAACUUAUAGCCAACUAUGAACUUCUUUAGAAAACUAAGAUUAAGGUUUCCGAAAAGGCCUUCACUGCUCCUAGACUUGAAUAUUAUUGAAAAAACAAUUCAUUAGAUACAACCAAAGUAUGUUUCUACAUACUAAACUAUAUAUUGCUGCUGUCUUUUGUUUUGCAUAACAAUACUCUGCUGAAGGCCUAUACUUGUUCAGAAAGGCAGUUAUGUAUCCCGAGGCUGGGAUUAUUCCACCCACGUUUGACACAAAGCUCUAGUAAAUGUAAGUGAUUUUCCACAUUCACCUUUUCCAGAUUUCCAGCUAUACUCCACCACUGGAUUUCUUUCUCGGGUUUUUUCAAACUCACCCGCAUGGAACGCAACCACCAUUUUUUGAGAAUCUGGUAUUUGUACAUGUCAUAUAUUCUGUUCUUUUUUUUUUACAUUCAGUUACAUUUAGCAAAUACAAAGUAAUUGUGCAAUACAUAUGCAAAAUUAUGUAGUGGGGUGUUUCACUGAAAGGAGAGUUUUAACUUUUAUUGUGUUUUGACUUUUAAUGUUAUCGCAGUUUUUAAACUUUUACAUGCAACUUUAUUAGAAAAAAUGCUAUCACCACAAAAUUGAACGUGUGAAUAGUGGGAAAAGUAUGUCAUAUACUUAUUUAAUAUUAAACAGGAAAGCCUCCCACUGAUCACCUCCCAUAUGGUAAUCUCACAUCAACCAGAAGCGAAACAACAAAAACAUGAAUGGGAUACGGCUGUAUAUUCUGAAAGGGAACAUUAAAUGGAAAUAGUGUAAUACAGUUAAGAGUUAUAUAGAUGCGCUGUUACUCAAUGCACUCACAGAAUGUAGGUGUUAAAAUUGCUCAAAGGGUGCGUCCCCCGAUGGUGAUGGGGGGCUAUCAACCCAUGCCUCAGUCCAGGUAUAUUGUUUGAAAGCAGGACUCCAGGUGAAAGGAAAAUUUUAUUAUAAAUAAAAGGUGAACAAUCGCCAAUGUAAUAAAAUGCAAGGUACAAGGUACGGUCCUACGUGUUUCGUACAAAAUAAAAUAAAGCUAUUAGCUUGUUCCAAAUCUAGGAAUCUUUACUGACCUGUGAUAAAUUAAUAACGGCUUUUUAAAAUUCAGGUGAAUGAAGCACCUCAGUAAAAACAUCACUUAAAGAGAGAGGUGGUAUUAUUUAUGGAAAUUGCAAACAUCAUGCGGGGGAAAAUACCAAGAGGAGCAAGGACAAGAGAACAGAGCGGACACGUGAAGGAAUCUUAUAGAAAAAGCAAGUCAUGAAAUGUAUUCUGUUAUUUCCUUCAUGAUGUUACAGUUAUCUGCAAAAGUGUGAGCACCCCUGGCAAGAUAGCAUUGUCCUGCUUGUUUUCAAGUCAAAGUAAGUUAACAAAAACUCUACAAUGAACACUUAUAAACAUAAUGUAAUGUAUUUCAGCAAACUAUAAUGGGCAGCUAUCAUUAGACCUGCACACAACAGAAAAAUCGAAUUCCUUGGAAACACUUUGUUAAAAAAAAAAAAAGUUUCAGGUAGUCAGAUAGUCAACUCCAAGGCGGCUAUUUACUAACCCGAGAACGUUUUAUAGUCAGUCACAUUGAUUGAUUGUGCAAUUCACAACACACCAAAAAGACUUUCUUCUUUAAUUACUGAGUUUAAAGGGAAUUUAUUGGCUAAUUGUUAACUUUUCAAUAUAUUGUACAAUUCAGAAGAGGUCAGCUCAAGUAGGAUCCUAGAAGCCUUCUAUUAUUCACACCGUGCACAAAAUGAAUAAGGAAAACAUAUUGCAUAAAGCAGUCUUGGUCCUUUAUCUUGGCGAAGAUUGCUAAUUAGAAAAUCAGCGCCAAACUUACUUUAUUUAAAAAAAGCCUGAUUGCUUCAGUAAAUAAAUACAAACUCAAGCAGGUGUCCUUAAGACAACUGGUCUACUAAGAAGCAACUGCAUGGCAGUGGUGUUUGGGGGAUGGAAGAAUAGUUGAAAAACAAAUACACGUCUCCUGGGCUAGUCUACCUUUUCUUUAAACUUUAAUAUAAUCCUGUAUGGUUAGUUAGGAAUUAAUACAGAGAUUGGAGAUGGUAUUCAGAAGGCACCUCUCUGUUUCUCCAUCCUUUGCCAGCAGCCAGUGCUUGAGUGAUCCCUAAUCCCUCUAGUACAAAAAAAGAUCUACUUGCCUCUCUACCAAUCUGCCCCAGAAAAUUAUUAUUAUUUUAUAUAUAUAUAUAUAUAUAUAUAUAAAACUUCUAUUUUUGUGAGACUAUGAUUUUUGUCUCCUGAAAGAGUUAUAUCUAUAAAUACCUAUUUUUUUUUUUCUUCUGACAGCCUUUCAUCCGCAUGAUCAGUGGAAAAAUAUAUAAAAAUACGCUUCAAUUUUUUUUUAUUUUCUUUGUAAAUUGCAGCUUUUACUCAUUCCUGUGCGCAAUGUAAAAAAUUUGACAGUUCAUUUCUUUCUAAAAACGAGGUAUUUAGUUCUCUAGCAAUCUUUUGUUGCAGAAUGUUUCAGGUUAACAUUAUUCACGUCUCUUUUUAUUCCAUUUCAAAGGAACAGAAUUUUUAUAUAUCUAUUUGAAAUUUAACAGUGUUAAAGCAUUAGUCAGACUAAAAAAAGGGUAUGAUCUGGAAGAAAGAAUAGUCUCUCUUAGCAUAUUAUAUACCGAACAAAAACAAGGACCUGGUUUGCCAAACAGUGAAAAAUGUAACAAAUGUUUUGAUAACAAUUUUAUAAAGACUUUAAUCAAUCAUGACUUGAGUUGACUCAAGUUUAAAACAUGGACGAUAUGACUAGUCAACUGAUCACUGGAGUAAAAUGUCAUUGGUUGUAAAGUAGUAACAAUUUGUGGAAAAACAAGCAUCGUUUGUGAAUCAAGACUUCCAAGAAAGGCUUGGAAAUGGAGAUAGGAUUUAGUCAAAGCAUUAUAAGAAGCUCAAUGUAGAAAUGAAAAGGUUUUAUUGGCACCAAGGCCAAAAUACAACAGGGAGGAAUCACAAAAUGUCCUAAUGCAUUUCGGAACCUUAAGUCCUUCAUCAUAGGACUAUGGAAGACAGGGUCCCUGAAUGUUUGUAGUAUCAGCGAGGUUAACAAAAAAUACAUUCUUGGUUGUUUAUAUCCAGAAGUCGGGGAGAAGGGUAGGAGGGAGUUUAAAAACAAAACAAAAAAACUGUGGAAUAGAGGGAGAUGAAAUGGAGUACAGAGAGAGUAAGAGUUGCCCUGUCUGCAAGGGUGGAAUUUCUACGUCUGUUCUCAGAGUGCAGUUCUGGACUGCAAAUGCCACGUGUGCUGGGAGAACAACUAGACCCAGCACACAAUUAAAAAUAUCUCUGUAUAUUGCACCUACUGGCUCCCACCACCAUGACCACUUCAGUUCACUGAAAUGGUCAUGGUGGUUUGAGUAACUCUUUAAAUCUGUAAAUGCAUUAUGUAGGGUUGUUGUCCAGUCAGAUGCAUGGGUCAGGGCAGAAAGAGAGAAUAUAUACUCCAGUUGACAAAUCGGGGGUCUGUAAUAUAGAGGGAAAAGUGUAUCUCUGUGUGUCCUAUAUGUCUCCUGGUUUUCAUAGCCUCCUCUAUGCUAACUUUCUGGUUCCUGACGCAAUUUUAUUUUGCUAAAUUCCUGAUUCAGAUUUUCAUUUUUGUUUUUAAUGAAUGGAGCUUUUUGGAAUGGGUUUAAACAUUUUCAUUACAUCAGUUGCCUUUAUUCUUUAAUCAAUAUGGAAAGUUGAAAACGAUCAGUUUUUAGACAGUCACGGAUAUAUUCUCGUUUACCAUAACAUAAUGUCACUCUGUCCAACCAGUAAAUCUGCAGUUUACACAUGGCUAAACACAUUGGACAUCCCAGCAUAUAUUCCUAUUUCAGAUGGUGCAGGGAGUAAGAGAUCCACAGUCUUCCUUCAAAAAUCAUCAAAUAGCAAAAGACUCUAGCGUAAAUGUAAAUUCUAACAGGAUGCACGGGUUUGUUAGUGCAAUACCAGGUACAAAGAGGUGAGCAACAUUUUGAUCAUGUGACUUUCAUUUGGUUUAUAUCUAAUAAAGAUCACCUGACCAAAACGGUAUAGUUUGCUAACCCUUCACCCCCACCAUCCCUGGAGUAAAGUAUCAUUGUGCUGGAGUAUUUUUUGCUAUUUCUGCCAUUUUUACUAAUCAGCCGCCAUGCAAACGUGUUUGUCCUUAAAAUUUAUCCCGACAUUAUAUCAUUCUGAGAACUUUAUCCACUAGCACAUAUUAUUUGUUAUUAAUAAGUCCUAUUUUCAUAAAUUUCAGCCACAGCAUAUCGAGGACCUGUGGAUUGAAAAGGAAUUACAUUAUAAGUCACCUUGCAGCAGAAUCUAAAUGUGACCGAGAAAAGCUAUCACAAACCAUCUCAGAAAUUAAUUCUGAUUACCAAUCAGUCCAUGUCCAGUGAUGAAUGAUUGGAUCUCCAUCUGCAGUGACAGCUAACACACUAUUUAAGCAUCACAGCAUUAUAAAAUUAGCUUUUUUUCACUCCUUUGAAUUUGAUUUAAAUAGCAGAAGGGUCAUUUUUUCACUUGGCAAAAAAAUGUUUUCGCAUUAGGUGCUAGUAAGACCUGUGGAAAAGAUUAACUAUAUGUAUUUAUAAAUGUAUAUGUUUUUAUAUACACAGCUUGCCACAGCUAAAGGGCAAUGAGAUUUACUGGAACAACCCGGCAGAUAUUACUCAGAGGUAAUUAUUCUGUUACAGGUAAAACAUCAUUUUAAAGACAAACAUUUCACUGUCUAGCAAGUUAUUCACUAAAAUGAGAGUUUAGAGUGGAUUUGUGGUGAAUUUCAAAUUUAAUGCCAAAUCAAACAAACUGGAAGCACAGAUGGCUUUGAAAAUGUUUCAAAUUAGACUAUUUUUACCUUAAAUUUGACGUCUACUCUGAAUUCACUUUGAAUUUUCAGUUUAGUGAAUAACUCUGUAGAUCUACUUUUUGUGUGAGAUUUCACUCUCUCUUUUAAAGGAUAACUAUUUAGACAGAAGUUGCGAAUCUGCAGGUAAAGGGGACACAACACACCAUGCCCAUGUAUGUUUAUUUAUGAACUUUCUUAAUUUUCCAUCUAAUGUCAAGGAGGCCAUUCAUCACCCUUCACAAAGCAUACGGGAUUCUGUAAUUAUAUAUAGUGAAGUGGGUGCACUUUGAAUUGAAUGGGGGACAGUUGGGCACAGUUAUACUGCUAAUGGCCUGAUAAAGUGUCGGUUGAUUGUGGCAGUACUAUACUGGAGGAGGGCAGCAUACUUCUCAGCUUUGGGAGGUAUUGAAAUGGGCCAAGCAUGGACACGGUGAGACAGCCCAUAACAGUCAUGGAUUGAAUGCCAUUGGUUUCCUGAUUGACAGUCAUGAGGGUAUAAAGUAAAAAAUACGGGAAUCUGUUAGCUCCUAGAGCACGUCAGCAAGCUAAAGAGCUGUGGGGGUUUGAGGAGUCCCUUUAAUGCAUUUGUCCAUUUUACCUCCAGAGGGAUUAAACAGUGAGGAAAGUCAUUAGGCCACACAGAGGAGCUGAAAAAAGCUCAUAUUUUGACAUCAACAUUCCAUAACAGAUAAAAACCAUAUUACUUGGAAAUGAACAGAAACUAUUUGGGUUGACUCGUCAUUGAAAAACUGAAAUUUUGUUGCAAAUUGGUAAUUAUAGAACACUAAGCAAAACCAAUAUCAUCGCUUUAUUUAAUAUAGCAUAUUAUGAUGGAGAGUGACCUGAUAUCACCACCAAAGCCAUCUCACUGGGCCUACAGUAUAGGCAAAUGACAACAGGGUAGAAUGGAUGUAGAUAUAAACACUUACACAGGUAAGAGUAGCAACUGUUUGCUAAGCAACAGCAUUUCUCCGAUGAUGGGAGACGUGCACUUACCAACAACAAUGGGAAAAAUAACUAUCCUGAAUGUAAAGUAAAUGAUUGCGGCAAUAAUUGUACCUUGUUUUUCUUCUACACAUUUUUACUUCAAAGUACAUCAUCCGCAAG